rnacentral:rRNA from 1 species
ACGGUCUUGCUGUCACUUAUAGAUGGAUCCGCGCUGCAUUAGCUAGUUGGUAAGGUAACGGCUUACCAAGGCAACGAUGCAUAGCCGACCUGAGAGGGUGAUCGGCCACACUGGAACUGAGACACGGUCCAGACUCCUACGGGAGGCAGCAGUAGGGAAUCUUCCGCAAUGGGCGAAAGCCUGACGGAGCAACGCCGCGUGAGUGAUGAAGGUCUUCGGAUCGUAAAACUCUGUUAUUAGGGAAGAACAUAUGUGUAAGUAACUGUGCACAUCUUGACGGUACCUAAUCAGAAAGCCACGGCUAACUACGUGCCAGCAGCCGCGGUAAUACGUAGGUGGCAAGCGUUAUCCGGAAUUAUUGGGCGUAAAGCGCGCGUAGGCGGUUUUUUAAGUCUGAUGUGAAAGCCCACGGCUCAACCGUGGAGGGUCAUUGGAAACUGGAAAACUUGAGUGCAGAAGAGGAAAGUGGAAUUCCAUGUGUAGCGGUGAAAUGCGCAGAGAUAUGGAGGAACACCAGUGGCGAAGGCGACUUUCUGGUCUGUAACUGACGCUGAUGUGCGAAAGCGUGGGGAUCAAACAGGAUUAGAUACCCUGGUAGUCCACGCCGUAAACGA